rnacentral:rRNA from 1 species
AUGGGGUUUGUUAAAUUGAAUGUGGAUGCUUCUUUUGAUCAUAAUCAUCUACGAGGCACAACGGGUGCUGUUAUCAGAGAUGACAAAGGAAACUUCAUAGUAGGUGGUAAUUGGAAGAUUCAGUACUGUGCGGAUGCUCUGACAGCCGAGGCGUUCGCCCUCAGGUUUGGUUUACUGUUGGCACAAAAAACGGGUUGCAAUCGUCUCAUUAUCAAUUCAGAUAAUAUGGAAGUCAUUGACACAAUGAAGAACGGUGAGAGAGGAGCGGCGACAAUUUUUGAGGAUUGUUUUUUUAUGGCAUGUGAUUUUCCACAAAUCAGUUUUGAACAUUGUAAUAGAGAAUCAAACAAAGUAGCUCAUGAGCUUGCUAGAUUAGCAAAAUGUUCCAUGACUAGGGAUUGGAUAGAGGAGCCCAUGGAAAAUCUUGUAACUCUUCUGAUAGACGAUGUAAAUAUUAUUUAUAAUUAA